CCUGCGGGAGUCAAAUGCGCUGGUGGCCAGUGGGAGUCACGGAGGACUCGGCGUUCACCAGCACUUAAUCUCACACUGCCACUGAGAGAUUCCAGGGAAUGCCUGGAUCUAAUUAUGGUUUAUCAGCUUUCACAGAGUGCAAAAUGUUUCCCAGAUUGAAGAUUCCACAGCCGAGGACACCCUGAGAAUUGUUAAAGAGAUCACUAAGUUGACCUCAAGGCAAGAGGAUAUAAACCAGCAUCAACCAAAGCAUUUGCAUCGUAUAGUAUUGGCUUAUAGAAAGACACUCUGUUAUUGUAAAUAAAAGGGCUCUUCGAUUCUUUUCCUUGCAAAAUCUAAUGGAAGACUAAAUGGGUCACGGCUGAUGUGCCAAAAGGAAGGAGUAGAAUGAAAAGUGGGUGAGUGAUAAUCGAAUAAAGAAGACAGAAUACAAUAGUCAAAGAAGAAAAUGUGGAAAAGAUACAAGGCCCUCAAGUGAAACCAGAGACUCUUUCUUGUCCUGCCAGCUCUAAUGAGAGGGGCCAACCAGGAACACAGCAACUCUCAGAUGAGACAAAAUACCUGACACCCAAAGUCAACGGAAGAAAGUUUUAUUUAGCUCACAGUCUGCAGAGGUUUCACUUCAUUGUUGCCUGGCUCCAAAUCAGGGUGUCCUGGAAGAGCAGCAUCGUAGAGGAUAAAUAGUUCAUGGCAGGUAAAGACAGAACAAACAAGGGACAAAUGACCAGACCCUUUCUGUCCUUGUGUCUUACUCAGGCUAACCACCGUAGGGCAGGUAGCAUUCACACCCUUAAUCGUAGCGUUGCACCAUGAGUCAAUCUCAGUGUCACACACUCUUGAUCCAACUACCUCUGUAAAGCCCCAACUAUGACCACGUGAGGCUUUGAGGGGACCUCUAGACACAGCCAUAACAAUCCUAUUACUGUUCGUUCAGGGAGCACAGAGUACUAGGCACUUUUUACUUGUGUUAUCUUUUACAAUCACCAUAAUUUAACAGUGAAUGAGAGGUUAUACUAUCCUCACUUUCUAUAAAGGACCUGAAGCUUAGCAAAGUGAUUUAUCCCUGACUAAAUCAAGUUUGUCUAUAGUGGCUAGGGCCAGGUUUUUAACACAAGUCUGUCUACUUCCAAAAUAACAGUGAUUUCUUCUAUAUCCACUUCACAGUUUAACCCAAGCUUCACUCGGGCAGUGUGUUUCUUUGCAUACUAUCCUGAGCACCACUAGAGCAGGUACAUUUUCAACCAGCUGAUACUUGUAUUAAAUACACUUGGUAAAGUUGUCUUUUUCAUAUUUCCUGUUAAUAAUAGCUUACAAAAAAUGUUUAAAACUGAAAUUUUUAGUUAUCCUAUAUCUAAAUAAUUGAACAGGUAGCCACUUACCAAUGGUCAGUAAGCUUUAGUUCUAAUGGCGAAUCUAUUAUUCCAUGAGGUAAAGAUGGUCUGUGGACUAAAAAUGGUUUUUACUUUGUAUUCUUAGAGUCUUGUGACACAGUCCAGGCUGGCCUUGAAUUCACAAAUGUGUUACUAAAUCUGGCAGAUUUUUAUAUUUUUAAAUGAUAGAAAUCCAAUGAAGACUACUUUGUAAUAUGAAAAUUAUAUGCAAGUCAAGUUUUAGUGUCCAUAAAUAAAUUUAUUGGAACACAGCCCAUUUGCAUAACUAUGGCUGCUGUCAUACUACAUGAGAGUUGAGUAGUUGCUAUGGAGAACAAAGGACCCUCAAACCCAAAAUAUUAACUACUCGGUCCUUUAAAAUAGUUUGCUAACUACUGCUGUGUACUACUUUGCCUCUUAUUUUGGUGGCUCCUAUUUUUAAGAUUACAUUUUUUAAGUUCCCAGCCUUAACAGGCUUCUUUUUCACCUCUACUAUAGAAAUAAUUAGUGCUCUUGAGCAUCUCUUUGCUCUGUCCUAUAAAAAUCAAAUCUCCCUGCUUAUACCUCAAGCCUGCUCAGGAAAUGUCAUUCCUACUUUAAUGUUAUAUAGAUGAGAACAUGUUAUAAUUCUUUUUCACUGACUCCAUUUCUCUGUUUAAGCAAUAUAGGAAAAGAGAAAUCUAAACAAGACCAUACAUAUGACUGCUGGUUUUUUGACAAGUCAUAGAUUUCUGUUGUGACUGAUUACAGCAACCAUAAGAAGUUCAGAGAGAGAGGAGUUGAGAGAGACAGACAGACAGAGACAGAGAGAAAGAGACAGAGAAAGACAGAAAAAGGAUAUUUAAAUAGCAACCAAAUAAUACUUUUCAAGCUAUAUGCUUCUAUGAAUUAAGAAUGACAAAGU